UACGUAGGGUGCAAGCGUUAAUCGGAAUUACUGGGCGUAAAGCGUGCGCAGGCGGUUAUGUAAGACAGGUGUGAAAUCCCCGGGCUUAACCUGGGAACUGCAUUUGUGACUGCACAGCUGGAGUGCGGCAGAGGGGGAUGGAAUUCCGCGUGUAGCAGUGAAAUGCGUAGAUAUGCGGAGGAACACCGAUGGCGAAGGCAAUCCCCUGGGCCUGCACUGACGCUCAUGCACGAAAGCGUGGGGAGCAAACAGG
rnacentral:rRNA from 1 species